CACGUAGGGUGCAAGCGUUGUCCGGAAUCCUUGGGCGUAAAGAGCUCGUAGGCGGCUUAGUAAGUCGGGUGUGAAAACCCCAGGCUCAACCUGGGGACGCCACCCGAUACUGCUAUAGCUAGAGUCCAGUAGGGGAGUGUGGAAUUCCCAGUGUAGCGGUGAAAUGCGCAGAUAUUGGGAGGAACACCAGCGGCGAAGGCGGCACUCUGGGCUGGUACUGACGCUGAGACGCGAAAGCGUGGGGAGCGAACAGG
rnacentral:rRNA from 1 species